GCCUCCCUACCUCUAAAGGCCUCCACAGUCUGCAGUUCCAGCUCCAGAAAACGUGCCAAGAAGAGAGCUCAGGACCCUGGAGCGGAACACUGGAACACUGGAAGGGAGGGAGACUCCAGCUCAGACAACGGGGUGGGGGUGAAGGAACGGGUUAAGUUUUCUCUUUCUUAUUCUAAAGAAAUAAAGAUGAGAACCAGUA